UGAACGCUAGCUACAGGCUUAACACAUGCAAGUCGAGGGGCAGCAUGAAGAUGUGCUUGCACAACUUUGAUGGCGACCGGCGCACGGGUGAGUAACGCGUAUCCAACCUUCCCUAUAGUAGAGAAUAGCCCGGCGAAAGUCGGAUUAAUGCUCUAUGUUCUUCUUUGAUGGCAUCUGACGAGAAGCAAAGGUUCACCGCUAUAGGAUGGGGAUGCGUCUGAUUAGCUUGUUGGCGGGGUAACGGCCCACCAAGGCUACGAUCAGUAGGGGUUCUGAGAGGAAGGUCCCCCACAUUGGUACUGAGACACGGACCAAACUCCUACGGGAGGCAGCAGUGAGGAAUAUUGGUCAAUGGGCGAGAGCCUGAACCAGCCAAGUAGCGUGCAGGACGACUGCCCUAUGGGUUGUAAACUGCUUUUAUGCGGGAAUAAAGUCCACUACGUGUAGUGGUUUGUAUGUACCGCAUGAAUAAGGACCGGCUAAUUCCGUGCC
rnacentral:rRNA from 1 species